ensembl:lncRNA
CUUACAGAGCUGGUGAAAGCAUUUUUUCUUUGCUGAUCUGUAGCCCAAGGAUUCAAAAAUCCUUCAUCGCCUCAUCACAAACGUCUUUCCUUAUCUGUUGCUGAAGAACCUGCAGUAGAUGGACUCCCUGUCUUGCUGAUUUCCCAGAAAAGGUACAAAAUCUUCCCCCAUCUUGCUCUCCUGUCUUCUGGAAAUAUGCAGUCUCCUAUCAAAGUGGUCCUAUGGAUCAAGAAUGUAGAAAUCAAGAAUAGGUAAACUUCAUCAGCUGCUUAGUCUAUUAUUCUUCAAGAAGAAGAAAUAUGAGUGUUAAGCAGAGAAAUUAAGUAGUUGCACAAAUUAUUGAAGCUUAUGUAAAAUUUUGUGUAUGCAAAAUCCUUGAAAUGUUGCUAGAACAUUGCUUCAUGGGAUGGAAAAGAAUGUUGUAUCUCACAGAAAGCAGUAAUGUCAUCUAGUCUUGGCUGAACUUGGACAGCUGAAAUCAUCUCCACAAAGAGAGAGAUACUACACUUCACUGAAGCACACAUUUGUGUGUAUGAAGCAAUAGGUGGAUGUGCUAAUAACUCGAUUUCAGUAUUGAUGGAAGGAAUAGGAGAAUGGCAGUAAGGAGUGGAGAUUUGCUUCUGAAAGGAAUACUAGAAGGUUGCCAAGGAGUAGAUAGCAUAAAAAUACAUAUCUUUUCCCAGUCUUGGGAUUUCUCUCAUGAAUGCAAUUUCUGGAUAUAAUACUUGCAAAAACUUUUACACAAAUUUACACAGCUGCAUAUCAAUGUUUUUCAAUAUCAAUAUCAACGCUAGGUUUGAUGAAAAACAAACUAGGCUGUAUAGAUUGAAACUUCUGAGUUCAUUCUGCUGUGGUCUGCUGAGAAGAGUGGGCUGCAAUCUUCUGGUGAGCACAAAUAGCUUGAAAAUCAUGACAUUUAGUAAAAUAUUGGGAAGAGCAAUUGAAUACAAAUCAGUUUAUAGAACAUAUUUAAGCAUUAUUUUUGAUAUUUGAGAAUGGAAAUUGCUUUUAAAAAUGGGUAAAACUUUAUAAGAACAUUGCUUAUAAAAGAUCUACUAAUUUUACUUAAAUGUUAUCAGUAAGAUAUCCAUAAUGUGAAUUUGAGGAAGCAUUUUCAGUUACUUUAGUUACUUACAUUUUCCUUAGAUAACAUGCUAUUGGGAACCUGCAUGGGUACCUUUUUGCAUAAUGGCACGCUCUGAGAUUGUUGGCUAUGCUUUUUCUCUAGUGCUGAAGUUAAUUUCAUAAAUUUGAACUAAGUACAUUUUGUAUUAGGAAUUAGGAGAAAAGAGUUAAUUACAGAUUAGUUGCAUCUACUGUCUCCUUCUGAAAAUCUAAUUCUGAAAACCCCUUUCAACACAAAAAAAAAAAAAAAGAAAAGAAAAAAUAAAAAGCCUGAAUUAGUCUUUAGAAAGCACAGCAAAAGAAAAAAAUAUAUAUACAUCUUUGAGGCAAAAGAAAUCUUUUUCUUUACUGAAGUCAAAUAAUACUAGCUUGUGAAUAACUAUUAUUUCAUACAAUUUUUUGUCAGGAUUUAAAAAAGGAAAGUGGUGUCAUUAUAAGCAAAACCUGUGAUAAAUAAUUGAAUCUCGCUGAGAUAUUCAUUUUAAUAACAUUUGUUCUGAAUGCCCAUGAAAAGCAUAAUGACUUCCAAUGAGCUAAGUCCUUUAAAACUUUCUUCAGAUCUGUUCUGUAAUUCAAAGAGAAUAAAUCUAGAAUAUUCUGUGAUAUUCAAACCUUGUAUAGUUAACUGUAUUAGAAGUCUGCUUCAAAUCAAAAUUAGUUCGAAGAUGGUUUAUAGAAUGAAAAUGAAUAAUGCUUGUGCUUCUUCAAAUUUGCUUAUAAAACCAAAUAUUCUUUUCAUGUUUUCAAAAUAAUAUUGGUUUAGAAGCAAAUAAUAUACACAUAAUCAUAUUAGGCAAUAUUAUCCUUUCUUUAAAAAAAAAAAAAAAGUUCUGCAAUCUCUACUCAAAUAUCACAUAAAAUUACUUAAAAAAAUACUGGUUUUUUUUUCUAAGAAAAAAUAUUUUUUCAUCUUAUUUGAAA